rnacentral:rRNA from 1 species
UACGGAAGGCAGCAGUGGGGAAUAUUGCACAAUGGGCGCAAGCCUGAUGCAGCCAUGCCGCGUGUAUGAAAAAGGCCUUCGGGUUGUAAAGUACUUUCAGUCGUGAGGAAGGUGUUAAGGUUAAUAACCUUAGCAAUUGACGUUAGCGACAGAAGAAGCACCGGCUAACUCCGUGCCAGCAGCCGCGGUAAUACGGAGGGUGCGAGCGUUAAUCGGAAUUACUGGGCGUAAAGGGCACGCAGGCGGUUAAUUAAGUUGGAUGUGAAAUCCCCGGGCUUAACCUGGGAAUGGCAUUCAAGACUGGUUAGCUAGAGUCUUGUAGAGGGGGUAGAAUUCCAUGUGUAGCGGUGAAAUGCGUAGAGAUGUGGAGGAAUACCGGUGGCGAAGGCGGCCCCUGGACAAAGACUGACGCUCGUGUGCGAAAGCGUGGGGAGCAAACAGGGAUUAGAUACC